UUGAGAAUAAGGGUUCGACUCCGGAGAGGGAGCCUGAGAAACGGCUACCACAUCCAAGGAAGGCAGCAGGCGCGCAAAUUACCCACUCUCGGCACGAGGAGGUAGUGACGAAAAAUAACGAGACGGAUCUCUUUGAGGCCCGUUAUCGGAAUGAGAACAGUUCAAAUCCUUUAACGAGGAUCUAGCGGAGGGCAAGUCUGGUGCCAGCAGCCGCGGUAAUUCCAGCUCCGCAGGUGUAUAUAUAUGCUGCUGCGGUUAAAAAGCUCGUAGUUGGAUCUGCGUGCUCGGAACUGGUUGGCUCACUGAGUUCAAACUGGUCUCCGGCGCUUUAUUGGCUGGUUUUCCCUUGAUGCUCUUAACCGGGUGUCUUGGGUGGCUAGCACGUUUACUUUGAAAAAAAAUUAGAGUGCUCAAUACAGGCGUAAAGCCUUGAAUAGUGGUGCAUGGAAUAAUAGAAUAGGACCUCGGCUCUAUUUUGUUGGUUUUCGGAACGCGAGGUAAUGAUUAAGAGGGACAGACGGGGGCAUUCGUAUUGCGACGUUAGAGGUGAAAUUCUUGGAUCGUCGCAAGACGGACGACUGCGAAAGCAUUUGCUAAGAAUGUUUUCAUUAAUCAAGAACGAAAGUUAGAGGUUCGAAGGCGAUCAGAUACCGCCCUAGUUCUAACUGUAAACGAUGCCAACUAGCGAUUCGCAGGCGUUAAACAACGACCUUGCGGGCAGCUUCCCGGAAACGAAAGUGUUCGGGUUCCGGGGGAAGUAUGGUUGCAAAGCUGAAACUUAAAGGAAUUGACGGAAGGGCACCACCAGGAGUGGAGCCUGCGGCUUAAUUUGACCCAACACGGGAAAACUCACCCGGCCCGGACACCGUAAGGAUUGACAGAUUGAGAGCUCUUUCUUGAUUCGGUGGGUGGUGGUGCAUGGCCGUUCUUAGUUGGUGGAGCGAUUUGUCUGGUUUAUUCCGAUAACGAACGAGACUCUGGCCUACUAAAUAGUGGGCGGAUUCUUUCUGUCCGCAGCACUUCUUAGAGGGACAAGCGGUGUUCAGCCGCACGAGAUUGAGCAAUAACAGGUCUGUGAUGCCCUUAGAUGUCCGGGGCUGCACGCGCGCUACACUGAAGGAAUCAGCGUGCUUUCUGACCUUGCCCGAAAGGGCUGGGUAACCCGAUGAAAAUCCUUCGUGAUUGGGAUAGGGACUUGCAAUUAUUUCCCUUGAACGAGGAAUUCCCAGUAAGUGUGGGUCAUAAGCUCGCGUUGAUUACGUCCCUGCCCUUUGUACACACCGCCCGUCGCUGCCCGGAACUGAGCCGUUUCGAGAAGAACAGGGACCGUCGUUGAAGGGCCUUAACGGGCUUUUCUCUGAUAGGAACUGUUUUAAUCGCAGUGGCUUGAACCGGGCAAAAGUCGUAACAAGGUU
rnacentral:rRNA from 1 species